rnacentral:lncRNA from 1 species
CUCAAUUGCUAAUAAAUGCUCGUAAAAUAUUUGAAUGCAACUAUACCCUCAACAAUUUGCUAUAAAUGUAACGUAAAUAUGCUAUUAUUGAAAAAAAUUCCGACUUGCCGGUUUAAGAUCGAUAACAUUGAUGCUACACUGUUUUCCAAUAUGCUAACCAAUUAUGGAUGAAAACACCAAAUACAGUUUUUUACGGGAAAAAUUGCACAACUACCUCACGCCACUGUGACACCUCGAGAACUAGUUGGCCACUCAGGCCCCUCUGUUCGACACAAACAAACUACCACUCCCACGCUCCCCGUUCUAGAGAUAUACGUGCUGCGCUCACUUACCCACUGCGCUCAGUUACCCCGAAUGACUCUACUAAAUAAUAGUGUAUAUAAAUAUACUUAAUAGUGCGCGCAUAAUUGUUUUAGUGUCUACAUUUUGUUACUGUAUAUAAUUUUAUGAAAAAUAAUUAAUAUAAUAAUUUCAAUGACC